GCGCCAGUGGCGCAGCGCCGCGUGGGCCCCGCCGCCCGUGAAGGGCGAAGAGGCCUUGUCUCCGCCCCAGCCCGGCCCCCCGGCGGCUCUUCCCACCGCAGCCGGUGUUACCCCGCGAACCGGCCGGACGCCAAGCGGAGCGUGAGGUGGCGGUGGAAGAGCCCCCGGCUUUGGCGGGGUUCUGCUCCCACCCCGCUCCUCCUCGCCAGCGCUUUCUGUCCCCAUCACCGAAUUGAGCCAAGAUAAAUGCCAAAGGAAGCAACAGCGGUUUCCUGGAGGGACCGUGGGGAAGCGUGGACACGGCUCUUCUUGUUUGGGCGCUCAAAGUGAAGCUCUUCUGCAGGGUUGCCCGAGCGGGCACGCACGGCAAGGCCUCUGCCCCCUACAAAGACAGGCCUGGUCUCCGUCAGAUUUCAAAAUGAGAGCAUCUGUGAGACAGCACGCCGUGAGAACGGGAUGGGCCAGGCAUACAUAGCCUCUGUCUCUGCUGUGGUACAACAGACUGGAUUACACGUCACCAUACCUUUUUUCUGCACUUCAAAAAUCCAAAGUAAACUGCGUGCCAUCUUAUAUAACAGUACAAAAUAAUAAUAAUCCAAAUAAUAGUACAGUUACAGUGAAGUGACUCCUGUGCCCACACUGGGUUAGGCACAUACAGUGUUACAGGACCAGAUUUUGGAUGUAAUUCAUGAAAGGCUGUACUGCACGAUCUCAGGCAGGCACUUGGACUUUAGUGUGGCAUUUUUCGUUUAAAAAAAUCUCAGAGCUGAAUGUUCGUACUCUCAUAGUAUAACACAGUGUGUGCAAGGCUGGAUUUUUUUUUCCCUAAUACAAUUUUCUAUUGAUUAAAAAAAGAGUUUAAUACUCUGGGACUCCGAAGUGUUGUCGAUUUGAAAAAUUAAGGUAAAACGCACAUAACUUUUGUGAUAGGAAAUUGUUCAGUCAAUAGUUGGCCUGUCCUGUUCACCUUGGGAGCUCAGAUAUCUCUGGCUGGAGGAAAUUCUUUCCUCAUUAGGGCCAUGCUUUUCCUUCUGUUCCUGCACCUUUUUUUCUGUUCUUUAUCUAAUCUCAUAUUCUAAUCUCAUGUUCUCCACUUUCAUAAGAGCUCACAAAUUAAGUAGGGCUAAAAAGGAGGAGGAUGUUCUUGAACCAAAUGUGGUGCCCCCACAUUUCAUCUCCAAUUAUAAUCACAGAUGAAACUUGCGCAUUUAUACAACUGCCUUUUUCCAGAAACCUCCUAGAAGGCAGAGGAGUCUGUCUUGACUCUCUUGAGAAGCUGCUGCUUCAGUUCUUGUUUCCAGCCUUGACUACACCAUUGCAGUAGCCGUUUCCAGACUUCAUAAGAGAAUUUUUUUUUUUAUUUACA